rnacentral:rRNA from 1 species
GUGGGGAAUAUUGGACAAUGGGCGAAAGCCUGAUCCAGCCAUGCCGCGUGUGUGAAGAAGGUCUUCGGAUUGUAAAGCACUUUAAGUUGGGAGGAAGGGCAGUAAGUUAAUACCUUGCUGUUUUGACGUUACCGACAGAAUAAGCACCGGCUAACUUCGUGCCAGCAGCCGCGGUAAUACGAAGGGUGCAAGCGUUAAUCGGAAUUACUGGGCGUACAGCGCGCGUAGGUGGUUUUGUAAGUUGGAGGUGAAAUCCCCGGGCUCAACCUGGGAACUGCCUCCAAAACUGCAUGACUAGAGUACGGGAGAGGGUAGUGGAAUUUCCUGUGUAGCGGUGAAAUGCGUAGAUAUAGGAAGGAACACCAGUGGCGAAGGCGACUACCUGGACUGAUACUGACACUGAGGUGCGAAAGCGUGGGGAGCAAACAGGAUUAGAUACCCUUGUAGUCC